rnacentral:rRNA from 1 species
UACCUACAACUGUUGCUUCGGCGGGCAGGGUCUCCGUGACCCUCCCGGCCUCCCGCCCCCGGGCGGGUCGGCGCCCGCCGGAGGAUAACCAAACUCUGAUUUAACGACGUUUCUUCUGAGUGGUACAAGCAAAUAAUCAAAACUUUUAACAACGGAUCUCUUGGUUCUGGCAUCGAUGAAGAACGCAGCGAAAUGCGAUAAGUAAUGUGAAUUGCAGAAUUCAGUGAAUCAUCGAAUCUUUGAACGCACAUUGCGCCCGCCAGCAUUCUGGCGGGCAUGCCUGUUCGAGCGUCAUUUCAACCCUCAAGCUCUGCUUGGUGUUGGGGCCCUACGGCUGACGUAGGCCCUCAAAGGUAGUGGCGGACCCUCCCGGAGCCUCCUUUGCGUAGUAACUUUACGUCUCGCACUGGGAUCCGGAGGGACUCUUGCCGUAAAACCCCCAAUUUUCCAAAGGUUGACCUCGGAUCA